rnacentral:rRNA from 1 species
AUUGAACGCUGGCGGCAGGCCUAACACAUGCAAGUCGAGCGGAUGAGUGGAGCUUGCUCCAUGAUUCAGCGGCGGACGGGUGAGUAAUGCCUAGGAAUCUGCCUGGUAGUGGGGGACAACGUUUCGAAAGGAACGCUAAUACCGCAUACGUCCUACGGGAGAAAGUGGGGGAUCUUCGGACCUCACGCUAUCAGAUGAGCCUAGGUCGGAUUAGCUAGUUGGUGAGGUAAAGGCUCACCAAGGCGACGAUCCGUAACUGGUCUGAGAGGAUGAUCAGUCAAACUGGGACUGAGACACGGUCCAGACUCCUACGGGAGGCAGCAGUGGGGAAUAUUGGACAAUAGGCGAAAGCCUGAUCCAGCCAUGCCGCGUGUGUGAAGAAGGUCUUCGGAUUGUAAAGCACUUUAAGUUGGGAGGAAGGGCAGUAAGUUAAUACCUUGCUGUUUUGACGUUACCAACAGAAUAAGCACCGGCUAACUUCGUGCCAGCCGCCGCCGUAACAC